rfam:Triticum aestivum genome assembly, contig: Triticum_aestivum_CS42_TGACv1_scaffold_407554_5BL
GUGGUACUCCCUCCGUCCGGAAAUACUUGUCAUCAAAAUGGAUGAAAAUGGAUGUAUCUAGAACUAAAAUACAUCUAGAUACAUCUAGUUUAAUGACAAGUAUUUCCGGACGGAGGGAGUAGGUU